UUAGGCCACAUCCACGCGUACCAAAACAAUCUUUUUUCUCUUUGAUUUUCCUUGACGUUGUUUGGAUAAUUUGCAAAGAACUCUGCAAAGAUCAGUCCAUUUCAAAUGUCACAGGGUGACAAUGUUUUGGUGUGGGACUAGUAGUAAUUUUGUCUCAGCGGGGUUUUCGCGCCAUCCAGUACUGCUCCGGAAGGCCAGCAGAGGCUACAGGUGUGGAAAGGGAAGACGAGAGUGUGGCAGCGCAGGGCACGACAACGACGAACAAGAGGAGUCGGGGCUGCGCAGGAUAUAGGAGAGAUGGGUCACGGGAAAUGUGGAGGGGUAGAGGCUAGCUUCACCAAUCCUCUGAGCUAAGUACUGCUUUAAUUCCACUCUAUCUUAAUUGUUCACUCCUACACCUGUGACACAAAACUGCAACUAGUUGGCUAAGGCUAUGCCUGGUGCCGUUUCUGCUAUAGAACUCAGACAAAAAGAGAAGAAGGGGGGCAUGCAGACUCCCUGUCCUGGGAACUAACCCUAUCCUGGACCAGAGCUCCAGACGGGGGCCGGUCUGCCUUCCACCCGGUUGCUCAUUCUUGCCAUACUGACUGCCAUCCAGCAAGCCCCAGGACCGCACCAGUCCCCACCUCUGCUCCUGUCCCGAGGGUGACCACCACUUCUGCCACUUCACCCCCUGUCUCUGCCACGAGGGUGAUCACUGCUCUGGCCCCCGUGCCUGUGCGCCUCCGAACCUCUGCACCGCCUCCUGUCAUUCCUGUUCACAUCUCCGAUUCUGAGCAGGCUGCCUUUUCUAUUGUCCACAUCUCUGAUCCUGAGCGACCCCCGGAGUGGCCCACCACAUCUUCACGGAGCGACUCGACCACGUCUUGUUGGCCUCUGGGUUGCCCUCUUGAGAAAUGUAGAGACUCCCUGAGACUCGUGCCUCCGUGUGUUUCUGUCAUGUCUGUCAUAUUUGGAAUUUGCGAGGAUGAUCACCGCUUUAGCCACCUCCCCCCCUGUCUCCGGGUGAUCACUCCUCCAGUCCCCGUGCCUGCACCCCACCGGACCUCUGCAGCACCGCCCGUCAUUCCUGUUCACGUCUCUGUUCCAGGGGAGCUGAUUGUUCCAAUCCAUGUCUCCGAUCCCAAGCAGGAUGCUGUUCAUGUUGUCCACAUCUCUAAUCCUGAGCUGGUCACCACAUCUUCCCGGCCUCCCAAAAAACAUGACAAUAAAAUAUAUUAUACUUU